rnacentral:rRNA from 1 species
UACGUAGGCAGCAAGCGUUGCUUCGGAGUUACUGGGCGUAAAGGGUGCGUAGGCGGCUUUUAAGUUUGGUGUGAAAUCUCCCGGCUCAACUGGGAGGGUGCGCCGAAUACUGAGAGGCUAGAGUGUGGGAGAGGAAAGUGGAAUUCCUGGUGUAGCGGUGAAAUGCGUAGAUAUCAGGAGGAACACCGGUGGUGUAAACGGCUUCUGGACCAUAACUGACGCUGAUGCACGAAAGCGUGGUAGCAAACAGG